rnacentral:ncRNA from 1 species
AGCGGAAUCGGGCAAACCUGUCGAAAGACAGGGACGCAAAGCUAAGGGUCUAAAACAUUUUUGUUAUGGCAGCCGGGUUGCAAAG